rnacentral:lncRNA from 1 species
GCUAUAUGAUACAUGUACAAAUAUCAAUAUAUAAUGUUUUAUAUUUUGUAUUUUUGUCAUGUUUGCAUUUGUUUUUUGUUGAUGUGCUUUGUCUAUAAUUCAAUGAUGAAUGUUGUACUCCUAUUUUGACAUUUAUACCUAUCAUGACUGUUUGUUUUGUCCACACAUCGUUGUCAAUAUAAUGGAAUUGUAUGCGACUGUCAUACAAGUGAGAGGUUAGAUAGUUAUUAAAUCAAGGUUAAUCCACUAUUUUAUGCAUAAGAAAAUGCCCGUACCAAGUCAGGAAUAUAACAGUAGUUAUCUAUUUGUUUGAUGUAUAUGAGCUUUCGAUUUUGCCUUUGAUAUGGGACUUCUGUUUCGAAUUUUCUUCAGAAAUUUUUUUAAAAUUUUUUUUUUACUUGGUAACUGUUUGAUAAUCACAUUUCGUAAUUAUUUUUCAGGUGAUCGGUAUA